UUAGCCGUCGCUUCUUCUGGUGGUACCGUCACUUUCUUCUUCCCACCUGAAAGCACUUUACAAUCCGAAGACCUUCAUCGUGCACACAGAAUUGCUGGAUCAGACUUUUUGGUCCCAUUGUCCAAUAUUCCCC
rnacentral:rRNA from 1 species